UACGGAGGGAGCAAACGUUGUUCGGAUUUACUGGGCGUAAAGGGAGUCUAGGCGGCUUGGUAAGUCAGGGGUGAAAUCCCGCGGCUCAACCGCGGAGUUGCCUUUGAUACUGCCGAGCUUGAGGCCGUGAGAGGAGACUGGAAUUCCCAGUGUAGCGGUGAAAUGCAUAGAUAUUGGGAAGAACACCAGUGGCGAAGGCGAGUCUCUGGCACGGAUCUGACGCUGAAGCUCGAAAGCUAGGGGAGCAAAC
rnacentral:rRNA from 1 species